rnacentral:rRNA from 1 species
CGGGACGGGUGAGUAACGCGUGGGUAACCUGCCUCAUACAGGGGGAGUAACAGUUAGAAAUGACUGCUAAUACCGCAUAAGCGCACGGGACUGCAUGGUCCAGUGUGAAAAACCGAGGUGGUAUGAGAUGGACCCGCGUCUGAUUAGCUGGUUGGCGGGGUAACGGCCCACCAAAGCGACGAUCAGUAGCCGGCCUGAGAGGGUGAACGGCCACAUUGGGACUGAGACACGGCCCAAACUCCUACGGAAGGCAGCAG